rnacentral:rRNA from 1 species
UAAAACCAGCACCUCAAGUGGUCAGGAUGAUUAUUGGGCCUAAAGCAUCCGUAGCCGGCUUUGUAAGUUUUCGGUUAAAUCUAUGUGCUCAACGCAUGGGCUGCCGAAAAUACUGCAUAGCUAGGGAGUGGGAGAGGUAGACGGUACUCAGUAGGAAGGGGUAAAAUCCUUUGAUCUAUUGAUGACCACCUGUGGCGAAGGCGGUCUGCCAGAACACGUUCGACGGUGAGGGAUGAAAGCUGGGGGAGCAAACCGGAUUAGAUACCCGGGUAGUCCCAGCCGUAAACGAUGCAGACUCGAUGAUGCAUUGGCAUAUAGCCAGUGCAGUGUCGCAGGGAAGCCGUUAAGUCUGCCGCCUGGGAAGUACGUACGCAAGUAUG